rnacentral:rRNA from 1 species
GAUGAACGCUGGCGGCGUGCCUAAUACAUGCAAGUCGAGCGAACGGACGAGAAGCUUGCUUCUCUGAUGUUAGCGGCGGACGGGUGAGUAACACGUGGAUAACCUACCUAUAAGACUGGGAUAACUUCGGGAAACCGGAGCUAAUACCGGAUAAUAUUUUGAACCGCAUGGUUCAAAAGUUAAAGACGGUCUUGCUGUCACUUAUAGAUGGAUCCGCGCUGCAUUAGCUAGUUGGUAAGGUAACGGCUUACCAAGGCAACGAUGCAUAGCCGACCUGAGAGGGUGAUCGGCCACACUGGAACUGAGUCACGGUCCAGACUCCUACGGGAGGCAGCAGUAGGGAAUCUUCCGCAAUGGGCGAAAGCCUGACGGAGCAACGCCGCGUGAGUGAUGAAGGUCUUCGGAUCGUAAAACUCUGUUAUUAGGGAAGAACAUAUGUGUAAGUAACUGUGCACAUCUUGACGGUACCUAAUCAGAAAGCCACGGCUAACUACGUG